UACGAAGGGGGCUAGCGUUGCUCGGAAUCACUGGGCGUAAAGCGCACGUAGGCGGACUCUUAAGUCAGGGGUGAAAUCCUGGAGCUCAACUCCAGAACUGCCUUUGAUACUGGGAGUCUUGAGUUCGGGGGAGGUGAGUGGAACUGCGAGUGUAGAGGUGAAAUUCGUAGAUAUUCGCAAGAACACCAGUGGCGAAGGCGGCUCACUGGCCCGAUACUGACGCUGAGGUGCGAAAGCGUGGGGAGCAAACAGG
rnacentral:rRNA from 1 species